GCUUGCACUCACCGAUAAAGAGUUGAGUGGCGAACGGGUGAGUAACACGUGGGCAACCUGCCCAAAAGAGGGGGAUAACACUUGGAAACAGGUGCUAAUACCGCAUAACCAUAGUUACCGCAUGGUAACUAUGUAAAAGGUGGCUAUGCUACCGCUUUUGGAUGGGCCCGCGGCGCAUUAGCUAGUUGGUGGGGUAAAGGCUUACCAAGGCAAUGAUGCGUAGCCGAACUGAGAGGUUGAUCGGCCACAUUGGGACUGAGACACGGCCCAAACUCCUACGGGAGGCAGCAGUAGGGAAUCUUCCACAAUGGGCGAAAGCCUGAUGGAGCAACGCCGCGUGGGUGAAGAAGGUCUUCGGAUCGUAAAACCCUGUUGUUAGAGAAGAAAGUGCGUGAGAGUAACUGUUCACGUUUCGACGGUAUCUAACCAGAAAGCCACGGCUAACUACGUGCCAGCAGCCGCGGUAAUACGUAGGUGGCAAGCGUUAUCCGGAUUUAUUGGGCGUAAAGGGAACGCAGGCGGUCUUUUAAGUCUGAUGUGAAAGCCUUCGGCUUAACCGGAGUAGUGCAUUGGAAACUGGGAGACUUGAGUGCAGAAGAGGAGAGUGGAACUCCAUGUGUAGCGGUGAAAUGCGCAGAUAUAUGGAAGAACACCAGUGGCGAAAGCGGCUCUCUGGUCUGUAACUGACGCCGAGGUUCGAAAGCGUGGGUAGCAAACAGGAUUAGAUACCCUGGUAGUCCACGCCGUAAACGAUGAAUGCUAAGUGUUGGAGGGUUUCCGCCCUUCAGUGCUGCAGCUAACG
rnacentral:rRNA from 1 species